GGUUGUAUGGUCCAGUGGUUACGACGUCAGAUUCUGAUUACGAAUCUACGCAUGCUUUGCGUUCUGAAGAUCAUGGUUCGAUUCCGUGUACGACCU